GGCGGCGGCGGCGGCUCGCUCGGGGCGGGUAAGGGCGGGACUGGCCCGCUGCGGGCGGACUGGGGAACCGCUGAGCUAACGGGUCCGGACGCCGACGGAGGCGGCGGCUUUCUCUGCACCGGCGGCGGCGGCGGGAGCGGCGAGCAUGGCCCGCGCGGCGCCCGGAGCUGACUGAGGUGCGCGGGCGGGCGGGCGGGAUAUGAGGCGCCCCGGGCCCCUCGCUGCUACGAACCCCUUCCGCGCGGGCAGCUGGCUCGACCAGCGGCCCAGACCCUCCCGGUCCACCCCGGCAACUUCCCCUGGGUCGGGGCCCUGGGAUCCCCCGUGGGGGCGGUGGUCCUCUUGCCCUGGCCUCCCUCCCGGUUGCCCGCCUUCUGCUCCUGCACCUCCAGCCGUUCCCACGCGCGGCUCUUGCACCCCGUGGAGGCAGUCCCCAGCCCCGGGAAGUGCUCCGUGCCCCAGUCCCGACUUCAGUCCACUGCCUAGUUCGCACCCGCAGCCCCGCGCGCGCUCCUGGCCUGUGCACUCCUUGGAGACCCUCGCCCCGCUCCUCCUGGCCACAGGCUGUCUUUGCACCAUCAGCAGCUCUCUCCUCUUUCCCCUACCUGGCACUGCCCCCGAGCCAUCCACAGUGGCCCAGUUCUCUCUGACGAGACCAACAGCCUGACCUCCUUCCCACUUCGGAGAAACCGAGGCUUGGCACAAACCAGGAACUUGGCCAAGUCCAUGCCCCAGCCCUGUGGGGCUAGUCUGAGCCCUUGCCUUGACAUGAAAGAGUCAUUUCUUCCCUCCAGUCAUUCCUCUGUGACUGGACCAAACUUCCCAGUUGCCUGCUGCAGCUCUGUGCUGAGCUCACUUUAGUCUCCCUGUUGGCGUUUUCCCACUUCUGUUUCCCCCUCCUCCUUCCUGUAUUUAAUUUCUGGCCUCCUUUGCCUGUAGAGUCCCCCACCCAUCACUCAUUUACUCAAGUUAGCCUUUUGAUUUCUGUUUCUUGCCGAGUGCAUCCAUCUCCCAUCUUGCCUCUUGCUUUCAGCUACAGUAAAACACUGAAGAACGGAGUCUAAGGUGGUGUUGGGGGAANNNNNNNNNNNNNNNNNNNNNNNNNNNNNNNNNNNNNNNNNNNNNNNNNNNNNNNNNNNNNNNNNNNNNNNNNNNNNNNNNNNNNNNNNNNNNNNNNNNAACACUGAAGAACGGAGUCUAAGGUGGUGUUGGGGGAAAGGGGAGAGGUGCUGGUGGUGGGAAGGGAGUGGCAGCCUCUUUCAGCUAAAGCUGCGAGAGGGCUCAGGGCACUCUGGAGUCCCUCAGUCAGUCAGUCCUAGCCAAUGAUGCACACUCCCAUCUUGUCUCUGGGACAGUUGUCUGGAAGCUGGUUGGUCAUUUCUUCCUGUCAUUAUGCGUGGUGGACUACACCAUCCCUCCGAGAUGGAGGGAACCUCCUACAUUGGUGGAGAUGGCGGCAUAAGAGAAGUCUGGGAGACCACACCCCUAACCCUCAUCUUCCUUCUGCUGCUAACUUUGGAGAUGGUUGCUGGCAAAGGGAAGGAUGCUGUUAGGUGCCCCCUGAGCUCUUUGUGGAGGAAGACGUAGUGACUGUAGGUGGUGAUCUCAAGUUUAGUCAUGGUGUUCAGGGUUUGAAGGAAAGAGGGAGCCAGGGCUCAGAGAGGUGGUGGAAACUUGCCUGUAUCGGGUUUUUUUGUUUUGUUUUGUUUAGUUUUGUUUUCUUAUCUUCCUUCGGGAGAUUUACCUAUGGGUCUGUCCCUUCCUAGCCCAGUUUUCAGCUUCUCAGUGGGAAGUUGGGGGAGGGAGGGAAAUCUAUGAGCCAUUACGAAGGCAGGCUCUGGGAGUUCCAUUGGGGUCCUGAAUGAGCAAUCUUGAUCUGAACCAGAUGGUUCCCUGCUUCAGCACCCCCUCUCUCAUCCUCCCCCUUGGCUGUGAAUAGGACAUCUUUAACCCUGUAACUUGAGAAUGGAGGUAGGGAGGCCAGGGGGCCAACUGUCUGUGUGCGUGUUUAUGUCUGCAUCUGUGCUCACCCUGUGAGCUUAAAGGGCCUGUGGGAGUGACCCUGCGUGGGAGUGCAGUGCCAGGAUGUGCUGUGUGGCUUGCUCACAGCCCUCUAGGAACUUUCCCAGCCCAGACCCCACAUGGGGUCAACUUCUCAGCUGCUAAGAACCACUGGGUGGUUCUCAUGGUGUGGCCUCAUGGUCCAUUUCCCCACAAGGCAAACCUCUGGACCUGAAAGAUGCCUCGGGCGAGGAUCACUGUUCUUUGGAAAACUACCUGCAGUUACAUGGAGUCUCAAAGAGCAGCCUGAGGUGGGGUGGGUUUCCUAGAAUUGGAGUUCCCGCUUCCCAGCUUGGAAAGAGAGGAGCUGGCGAGGGGAGGAGGAGCUGAUUCCUUUACCUCAUUCUGUACCCCAUCCUGCCUUGUGUAUUGUGUGCUUGAUUUUGACCUCUUCCNNNNNNNNCCCCCCCCCCCCCCCGCCCCGUUAGACUGUGAAAGUCCUUCAGAUGUGUCCUCGUUUCUGAAAUAUCACCCUGCGGCUCGGUCCUUGGCACAGAAUAGGUGUUCAGUAAUCCCCCUGAAGAGCUGUGUAAGGCGCAGUUUGCUGGGCCCCACUUCCAGACAUUUCUGAUUCAGGCAGUCUGGGUGUGGCCUGAGAUUUUAUUUCUGUACGGCUUCCUGACCAUAGCAUUUGAGAACCACUGGUUUGGGGCCAGGAGAGUUGCCUGGGCAAUUAAUCCAGGCCCAUGUAAAGUCUUCAGAGAGGCUGCCCCCAACCUGGUUUCCCCACCCAGGACUGUUCUGGCAGCUUCCCUGGGCUGGUCUUUUCCUGCCCUUCCCAUGCUUUCCAGUGUUGGCUAGAUUAAUGGUUGGGGUGACUUGAGGGCCUGAGCCCCCAGUCCGCCUGUAACCACAUAGCAGACACUGUGCUGUGGCCAUUUGAAGGAAGGACCUCACCACCCCCCACCCCCCCGCCCCCGGCUCCAAAGCAGGACGUUUAGGCACCAGGGCUUUGGGGAAGGACAUGGGGAAGCAGACCCUGAACCAGGUGCUCGUCUGCCCUGUCCCUCAGACUGAGUAGGUUGGGUGCUGGCCGUGGCUGCACACUGGACAGGGUGCCUGGAACUCUGAAAUUGAGACAAACAGGAGGAACCCCUUACAUUGUGCUUUAACUUUGCCACGCGUUUUUUCAUGUACUGUUUUUCAGGAGGUUUAUAAGGCAGAGGUAGACCCAGGUGGGGUUACCAAGAAACGGAGAUGCUCUGUGGGUCACACAACAGGCCCAGGGCUCAUGAUUUCAACCCGCCAAAAGAGCAUCUGCUAACCCAGAAGCUGUGAAUAGCUGGAGUGACAGCUGCUGUUCCUGAGUGGUUACUUCUAGCCAGGCACCUGGCUGGAUGUUCUUGCAAGUAGGCCCGUCACAUUCUCACAGCAGUGUUGCAGGGUUAGCAUUAUUGUCACUUUUUCACAGAUGAACUGAGGCUUACAGAACUUACGAGAUUUGCCCAUAAACUCAGCUGGUAAGUGGAGGAUAUGGAAGCCAGACGGGGUCUUUCUGACCCCAUGCUUUUUGUCCCUCACUGCCUGUGUUGCCCAGGAAACAUGUAAUUGGCCUUUGAGUUGUCUGCCCACAAAGCCUGGUGAAUUUAUUGAGUCUGGAACUCUGCCAGCUGUUGUGAAGGAGAAGAUGACCAAGUCUCUGUCCACCGGGAGCGGGGUAAGACAGGCACUCUGAUGUCCGCGGUGGGAGGCAGAAGGGGCAGCCAGGGGCUUGUAGGUUUAGAGGAGGAUUCCCCAAAGAGGGCUCAGAAGGGGACUCUGGGUUGGGCCCUGAAGGGGAAGGCAGAGUUCCAGCAGUGCCUGCAGGCCGGGGAGCGUACUGGCCAGCAGGGGAAGGAGGGACCAUAACGGCGCUUUCAGGGCAUUUUCCCUUUUGGUUGGAGCAUAGGAGAGGUAUUUUAAAAAGAAGUUUGGUUACAAGCAACACCUUGCUGACUUUGGUAGGAAAGGACUUCAUUGGAAGGCUAUGGUAACUCCUAGAAUCUGAGGAAUGACUGAGACCCGAGUCCCCUGCAGGGUCUUUUUUAAAAAGCAGUUAUUCGUCUUUCUUUUCUUCUAAAUAGGUCUUUAAGAAAUUGCUUAUUUAUUUUAUGUUUGGUUGUGCUGGCUCUCCAUUGCUGUGCGCAGGCUCCUCUCGCUGCAGGGGCUGCUCUUGUGGAGAACAGGCUCUAGGGCGUGCGGGCUUCAGUAGUUGUGGUGCAUGGGCUUGGUUGCUCCGUGGCAGGUGGAAUCUUCCCAGACCAGAGAUCGAACCCGUGUACCCUCCAUUGGCAGGCAGAUUCCUAAGCACUGGACCACCAGGGAAGGCCCUCUCCAGGGUCUUGGAGUAGGUAUGUCAGGAGCCAAAGGCCAGCCUCUUCAGGGUACCACUGGGUCCAGGAUAACUGUUCCAGCUGUACUCUGGGAUUUUGUCACCAUAGGUUGGGAGUCGUGUCCCAGGGAGGAGAUGUCUGGUUGGUCCAGACUGGGCCAUCCUCCUCCCUUGGCCGGGGAAGGGCUGGUACAGUAGGCAGUCCCCCCAAACCGUAUCCAGAAAUUGGAGUCCCCAGGAGAAGAGGCAGUAGAGAUUGCAAGAGAUCAAUCCCAGCACAGUGUUCAGUGAGGACUUGACUCGGCAGACGGCAGAGAGAGGGCUUGGUUCCGACAAGUUUCUGAGCAGGCAGAGGGCAGGCAGGUAGCAGGGUAUGGCUGGGUCAUAAGGGGACAAGGAAAGAAGGGAGGGAGGAAAUGGAAAACUAGUUAGGGUCCAGGUAAGAAGUAAUGAAGACUGGAAGCUGGCAGUAAAAAUGGAAAGAAGGGACUGAUUCUAGAGAACUGUGAAAGUGGAUAUCUUCUGGAACAGACAGUCAGUUGACUGGGGUUAGACAACUUCCUUGAGAAGGCAAUGGCACCCCACUCUAGUACUCUUGCCUGAAAAAUCCCAUGNNNNNNNNNNNNNNNNNNNNNNNNNNNUAUGGGGUCGCACAGAGUGAGACAUGACUGAAGCGACUUAGCAGCAGCAGACACUUCCUUGCCUGGGUGAUGAGCUCAGGUCCUUUAGCUGAAGUGGAGCAGUCAGGA
rnacentral:lncRNA from 1 species